UGGCAGUCAGAGGCGAUGAAGGACGUGCUAAUCUGCGAUAAGCGUCGGUAAGGUGAUAUGAACCGUUAUAACCGGCGAUUUCCGAAUGGGGAAACCCAGUGUGAUUCGUCACACUAUCAUUAACUGAAUCCAUAGGUUAAUGAGGCGAACCGGGGGAACUGAAACAUCUAAGUACCCCGAGGAAAAGAAAUCAACCGAGAUUCCCCCAGUAGCGGCGAGCGAACGGGGAGCAGCCCAGAGCCUGAAUCAGUGUGUGUGUUAGUGGAAGCGUCUGGAAAGGCGUGCGAUACAGGGUGACAGCCCCGUACACAAAAAUGCACAUACUGUGAGCUCGAUGAGUAGGGCGGGACACGUGGUAUCCUGUCUGAAUAUGGGGGGACCAUCCUCCAAGGCUAAAUACUCCUGACUGACCGAUAGUGAACCAGUACCGUGAGGGAAAGGCGAAAAGAACCCCGGCGAGGGGAGUGAAAAAGAACCUGAAACCGUGUACGUACAAGCAGUGGGAGCACGCUUAGGCGUGUGACUGCGUACCUUUUGUAUAAUGGGUCAGCGACUUAUAUUCUGUAGCAAGGUUAACCGAAUAGGGGAGCCGAAGGGAAACCGAGUCUUAACUGGGCGUUAAGUUGCAGGGUAUAGACCCGAAACCCGGUGAUCUAGCCAUGGGCAGGUUGAAGGUUGGGUAACACUAACUGGAGGACCGAACCGACUAAUGUUGAAAAAUUAGCGGAUGACUUGUGGCUGGGGGUGAAAGGCCAAUCAAACCGGGAGAUAGCUGGUUCUCCCCGAAAGCUAUUUAGGUAGCGCCUCGUGAAUUCAUCUCCGGGGGUAGAGCACUGUUUCGGCAAGGGGGUCAUCCCGACUUACCAACCCGAUGCAAACUGCGAAUACCGGAGAAUGUUAUCACGGGAGACACACGGCGGGUGCUAACGUCCGUCGUGAAGAGGGAAACAACCCAGACCGCCAGCUAAGGUCCCAAAGUCAUGGUUAAGUGGGAAACGAUGUGGGAAGGCCCAGACAGCCAGGAUGUUGGCUUAGAAGCAGCCAUCAUUUAAAGAAAGCGUAAUAGCUCACUGGUCGAGUCGGCCUGCGCGGAAGAUGUAACGGGGCUAAACCAUGCACCGAAGCUGCGGCAGCGACGCUUAUGCGUUGUUGGGUAGGGGAGCGUUCUGUAAGCCUGUGAAGGUGUGCUGUGAGGUAUGCUGGAGGUAUCAGAAGUGCGAAUGCUGACAUAAGUAACGAUAAAGCGGGUGAAAAGCCCGCUCGCCGGAAGACCAAGGGUUCCUGUCCAACGUUAAUCGGGG
rnacentral:rRNA from 1 species